UGCGCCCGCCGGCACUCCGGCGGGCAUGCCUGUCCGAGCGUCAUUUCAACCCUCAGGACCCCCUUUCGGGGGGGACCUGGUGCUGGGGAUCAGCGGCCUCCGGGCCCCUGUCCCCCAAAUUGAGUGGCGGUCGCGCCGCAGCCUCCCCUGCGUAGUAGCACACCUCGCACCGGAGAGCGGCUCGGCCACGCCGUGAAACCCCCAAUUUUUUAAGGUUGACCUCGGAUCAGGUAGGAAUACCCGCUGAACUUAAGCAUAUCAAUAAGCGGAGGAAAAGAAACCAACAGGGAUUGCCUCAGUAACGGCGAGUGAAGCGGCAACAGCUCAAAUUUGAAAUCUGGCCGCAAGGUCCGAGUUGUAAUUUGUAGAGGAUGCUUUUGGCGAGGUGCCUUCCGAGUUCCCUGGAACGGGACGCCAUAGAGGGUGAGAGCCCCGUACGGUAGGACCACCAAGCCUCUGUAAAGCUCCUUCGACGAGUCGAGUAGUUUGGGAAUGCUGCUCUAAAUGGGAGGUGUACGUCUUCUAAAGCUAAAUACCGGCCAGGGACCGAUAGCGCACAAGUAGAGUGAUCGAAAGAUGAAAAGCACUUUGAAAAGAGGGUCAAAAAGUACGUGAAAUUGUUGAAAGGGAAGCAUUCAUGACCAGACUUGGGCUUGGUUGAACAUCCGGCGUUCUCGCCGGUGCACUCUGCCAGUCCAGGCCAGCAUCAGUUUGCCCCGGGGGAUAAAGGCGGCGGGAA
rnacentral:rRNA from 1 species